UACAGAGGGUGCAAGCGUUAUUCGGAAUUACUGGGCGUAAAGCGCAUGUAGGCGGUUCGGUAAGUCUGGUGUGAAAUCCCCCGGCUCAAUCGGGGAAGUGCAUCGGAUACUGCCAAACUGGAGUACAGGAUGGGAGAACGGAAUUCCAGGUGUAGAGGUGAAAUUCGUAGAUAUCUGGAGGAACAACGGCGGCGAAGGCGGUUCUCUGGACUGUAACUGACGCUGAGAUGCGAAAGCGUGGGGAGCAAACAGG
rnacentral:rRNA from 1 species